rnacentral:tRNA from 1 species
CAGGACUUAGCUAAGCAUAAGAAUAGCACCUCCCUUACACUGAGAAGUCGCCCGUGCAAACCGGGCCGUUCUGA